UGGGGAUUAUUGCACAAUGGGGGAAACCCUGAUGCAGCGACGCCGCGUGAGCGAAGAAGGUUUUCGAAUCGUAAAGCUCUGUCCUAUGAGAAGAUAAUGACGGUAUCAUAGGAGGAAGCCCCGGCUAAAUACGUGCCAGCAGCCGCGGUAAUACGUAUGGGGCGAGCGUUGUCCGGAAUUAUUGGGCGUAAAGGGUACGUAGGCGGUCUAUUAAGUCAGGUGUGAAAGCGUGAGGCUUAACCUCAUUAAGCACUUGAAACUGAUAGACUUGAGUGAAGGAGAAGAAAGUGGAAUUCCUAGUGUAGCGGUGAAAUGCGUAGAUAUUAGGAGGAAUACCGGUGGCGAAGGCGACUUUCUGGACUUUUACUGACGCUCAGGAACGAAAGCGGGGGGAGCAAACAGG
rnacentral:rRNA from 1 species